AACUUUCAGCAAUGGAUCUCUCGGCUCUUGCAUCGAAGAAGAACGCAGUCCAUUGCGAAAAGUCAUGCGACCUGCACACUUUGAGAAGCAUUACUCUUUGAACGCACCUUGCACGUGGAGAUUAACUCUACGAGGUCCUGUUUGAGCAAGAACAAGAAAAUUGAACGUGAUCAUUUUAUACAGUUAAGAUGAUUCAAAUAGAUGCGGAGCAGCCUGAACGACUCUAAGGCAAAUUCAAGAUGAAUGAUUACUGGUUAGACAGUGCGACAAGUAACACUGAAUCACCAGUUUCAGCUCGUCAUGAACCGCAUGCACAUGCUUCAUUACUAACCCCAUUGAAACAUACCCCAGCAUACACUCUUCUCAAAUCAGGAUAGAGGACCCGCUGAACUUAAGCAUAUCAAUAAGCGGAGGCU
rnacentral:misc_RNA from 1 species